GCCGGUGUAGCUCAGAGGUAGAGCGGCUGAUUCGUAAUCAGCGGGUCGGGGGUUCAACUCCUCCCGCCGGCUCCA
rnacentral:tRNA from 1 species